rnacentral:rRNA from 1 species
GACGAACGCUGGCGGCGUGCUUAACACAUGCAAGUCGAACGGAAAGGCCCUGCUUUUGUGGGGUGCUCGAGUGGCGAACGGGUGAGUAACACGUGAGUAACCUGCCCUUGACUUUGGGAUAACUUCAGGAAACUGGGGCUAAUACCGGAUAGGAGCUCCUGCUGCAUGGUGGGGGUUGGAAAGUUUCGGCGGUUGGGGAUGGACUCGCGGCUUAUCAGCUUGUUGGUGGGGUAGUGGCUUACCAAGGCUUUGACGGGUAGCCGGCCUGAGAGGGUGACCGGCCACAUUGGGACUGAAAUGCGGCCCAGACUCCUACGGGAGGCAGCAGUGGGGAAUAUUGCACAAUGGGCGGAAGCCUGAUGCAGCAACGCCGCGUGCGGGAUGACGGCCUUCGGGUUGUAAACCGCUUUCGCCUGUGACGAAGCGUGAGUGACGGUAAUGGGUAAAGAAGCACCGGCUAACUACGUG